rnacentral:rRNA from 1 species
AACGAACGCUGGCGGCAUGCCUAACACAUGCAAGUCGAACGAGACCUUCGGGUCUAGUGGCGCACGGGUGCGUAACGCGUGGGAACCUGCCCUUAUGGUCGGCAUAACUCCCCGAAUGGGGUGCUAAUACCGGAUAAUGGCUUCUGACCAAAGAUUUAUCGCCUUUGGUUGGUCACGCGUUGAAUUAGCUAGUUGGUAGGGUUAAAGCUUACCAAGGCGACCAUUCAUAACUUGUUUGUGAGGAUGAUCAGCGACACUGGGACUGAGAAACGGCCCAGACUCCUACGCGAGGCAGCAGUGCGGAAUAUUGGACAAUGGGCGAAAGGAUGAUCGAGCAAUGACGCGUGAGUGAUGAAGGCAUUAGGGUUGUAAAGCUCUUUUAACCGGGAUGAUAAUGACAGUACCGGGAGAAUAAGCCCCGGCUAACUACGUG